rnacentral:rRNA from 1 species
UACGGAGGGUGCAAGCGUUGUCCGGAAUUACUGGGCGUAAAGCGUGCGCAGGCGGUUCGUCGUGUCCGAUGUGAAAGCCCCGGGCUCAACCUGGGAAUGGCAUUGGAAACUGGCGGACUCGAGUGUGGCAGAGGGGGGUGGAAUUCCGCGUGUAGCAGUGAAAUGCGUAGAGAUGCGGAGGAACACCGAUGGCGAAGGCAGCCCCCUGGGCUAACACUGACGCUCAGGCACGAAAGCGUGGGGAGCAAACAGG